GCCAGCCCUCUUCCUCCCACUCGGCUCCUCUUACGGAGUCCUCAUUCCACCCCCCUUGUUUCCGCAUUCAUCCUGAGUGGCUGGUGGGAACGUGAAAAGGGAGAGGAAAAGGCGCAAGAAGCCAGAGAGAGGGGUGUGGGAAAAGCGAAAACAGGCUGCCAAAUCAGGGGAUUCCUUCCAAUUUAAAAAGGAAGUCUGCUGACGUUAGUUAGUUAAAUUUAACAUCUUUUUAUGUGUAACACUUGACUUUGGAAGCAAAAAUGAACUUUGCGGAGAGAGAGGGCUCUAAGAGAUACUGCAUUCAAACGAAACAUGUGGCCAUUCUCUGUGCGGUGGUGGUGGGUGUAGGAUUAAUAGUGGGACUUGCCGUGGGCUUGACCAGAUCGUGUGACUCCAGCGGGGACGGCGGGCCGGGCACUGCGCCAGCUCCUUCCCACCUGCCUUCUUCCACGGCCAGCCCCUCAGGUCCUCCUGCCCAGGACCAGGACAUCUGCCCGGCCAGUGAGGAUGAGAGCGGACAGUGGAAAAACUUUCGACUGCCGGACUUCGUCAACCCAGUCCACUACGACCUGCACGUGAAGCCCCUGUUGGAGGAGGACACCUACACGGGCACCGUGAGCAUCUCCAUCAACCUGAGCGCUCCCACCCGGUACCUGUGGCUGCACCUCCGGGAGACCAGGAUCACCCGGCUCCCGGAGCUGAAGAGGCCCUCUGGGGACCAGGUGCAAGUCCGGAGGUGUUUCGAGUACAAAAAGCAGGAGUACGUGGUGGUCGAGGCGGAGGAAGAGCUUACCCCCAGCAGUGGAGAUGGCCUGUAUCUCCUGACCAUGGAGUUCGCCGGCUGGCUGAACGGCUCCCUCGUGGGAUUUUAUAGAACCACCUACACGGAGAACGGACAAGUCAAGAGCAUAGUGGCCACCGAUCAUGAACCAACAGAUGCCAGGAAAUCUUUUCCUUGUUUUGAUGAGCCCAACAAAAAGGCAACUUAUACAAUAUCUAUCACCCAUCCCAAAGAAUACGGAGCACUUUCAAAUAUGCCAGUGGCGAAAGAAGAGUCAGUGGAUGAUAAAUGGACUCGAACAACUUUUGAGAAGUCUGUCCCCAUGAGCACGUACCUGGUGUGCUUUGCUGUACAUCAAUUUGACUCUGUAAAGAGAAUAUCAAAUAGUGGAAAACCUGGACAUAAAUAAUCAUUGAAGAUAAAGAUGGUGCACAGCCUCAUUAAAUUGUUCAAGGAAGAUUGAUCUAAUGCAUCUAGUCAUGAUUGUCAAGUGAAGUCAAGUGUGGCAAAGGGACACGUAAAGGAAGUAAUGCUUACAAUUUAUGUCCAGCCAGAGCAAAAGCACACAGCCGAAUAUGCUGCAAACAUAACUAAAAGUGUGUUUGAUUAUUUUGAAGAAUACUUUGCUAUGAAUUAUUCUCUUCCUAAAUUAGAUAAAAUCGCUAUUCCAGAUUUUGGCACUGGUGCCAUGGAGAACUGGGGACUCAUCACGUACAGAGAAACGAACCUGCUUUAUGACCCUAAGGAAUCAGCCUCAUCAAACCAACAGAGGGUGGCCACUGUGGUUGCCCAUGAACUUGUGCAUCAGUGGUUUGGAAAUAUUGUGACCAUGGACUGGUGGGAAGACUUGUGGCUAAAUGAAGGAUUUGCUUCUUUCUUUGAGUUUCUGGGAGUAAACCAUGCAGAAACAGACUGGCAAAUGCGUGACCAAAUGUUACUUGAAGAUGUAUUACCUGUUCAAGAGGAUGAUUCUUUGAUGUCUUCGCAUCCAAUUAUUGUGACUGUGACAACCCCUGAUGAAAUAACAUCUGUUUUUGAUGGAAUAUCCUAUAGCAAGGGAUCUUCUAUUUUGAGAAUGCUUGAAGACUGGAUAAAACCAGAGAAUUUUCAAAAAGGAUGUCAGAUGUACUUGGAAAAAUACCAAUUCAAGAAUGCAAAAACUUCUGAUUUUUGGGCAGCACUGGAAGAGGCAAGUAGGCUACCAGUGAAAGAAGUAAUGGACACCUGGACCAGACAGAUGGGUUAUCCUGUGCUUAACGUGAACGGUGUCAAGAACAUCACACAGAAACGCUUUUUGUUGGACCCAAGAGCUAACCCUUCUCAGCCCCCUUCAGAUCUUGGUUAUACAUGGAAUAUCCCAGUUAAAUGGACUGAAGAUAAUAUAACAAGCAGUGUGUUAUUUAAUAGGUCAGAAAAAGAAGGAAUCACUUUGAACUCCUCUAAUCCUAGUGGAAAUGCUUUUCUCAAAAUAAACCCAGAUCAUAUUGGGUUUUAUCGUGUAAAUUAUGAAGUAGCAACUUGGGACUCGAUAGCUACAGCGCUCUCCUUGAACCACAAGACAUUUUCUUCAGCAGAUCGUGCAAGUCUUAUUGAUGAUGCUUUUGCCUUGGCAAGAGCUCAACUUCUAGAUUAUAAGGUGGCUUUGAACUUGACCAAGUAUCUCAAAAGGGAAGAGAAUUUUUUACCAUGGCAGAGAGUAAUUUCAGCUGUAACCUACAUCAUUAGCAUGUUUGAAGAUGAUAAAGAGCUAUAUCCUAUGAUUGAGGAAUACUUCCAAGGUCAAGUGAAGCCUAUUGCAGAUUCUCUGGGAUGGAAUGAUGCUGGAGACCAUGUCACAAAGUUACUCCGUUCCUCCGUGUUAGGGUUUGCGUGCAAGAUGGGAGACAGAGAAGCCUUGAACAAUGCUUCCUCGUUAUUUGAGCAGUGGCUAAAUGGGACUGUAAGCCUUCCCGUAAAUCUCAGGCUUCUGGUGUAUCGGUAUGGGAUGCAGAACUCUGGCAAUGAGAUUUCAUGGAACUACACUCUUGAGCAAUACCAGAAAACUUCAUUAGCUCAAGAAAAAGAAAAACUGCUGUAUGGAUUAGCAUCAGUGAAGAACGUUACUCUUUUGUCAAGGUAUUUGGAUUUGCUCAAGGACACGAACCUUAUUAAAACUCAGGAUGUGUUUACAGUCAUUCGAUAUAUCUCAUAUAACAGCUAUGGGAAGAACAUGGCCUGGAAUUGGAUACAACUCAACUGGGACUAUCUAGUCAACAGAUAUACACUCAAUAACAGAAACCUUGGCCGAAUUGUCACAAUAGCAGAGCCAUUCAACACUGAACUGCAACUGUGGCAGAUGGAGAGCUUUUUUGCAAAAUAUCCACAAGCUGGAGCAGGAGAAAAACCUAGGGAACAAGUGCUGGAAACAGUGAAAAACAAUAUAGAGUGGCUAAAACAACAUAGAAACACCAUCAGAGAAUGGUUUUUUAAUUUACUUGAGAGUGGUUAAUGUAUUCAAAUGUUAGAGUUUAAUUUUGUGAAUCUAUUGUUUCUCCUCUGAAGCAUUUGGUGGCCUAAUUUACAAGCACGAUGGAGAGAGCCUUAUAAACAGAUAAUGCUUUUACUAAGCACUGUGUUUAUAUGUCUUGCAAAGCCUUUAAAUUGUUCCUCUUUGUUUAUGAAGAAAGAUACUAAUAGAGUACUUAAUAUACUCAGGGAUUCCUUCUAAGUGUACUUCAUAAGAUAUUCUUUACAAACUGAAGAUAAUGAAAUAGUUAUUUUAAUACCUUUAAAUAUCAUUCUUUGUAUCUUAAAUCUGUGAAGUAGAACAAUUUGGUCUUAGCUUUACAUUUUCAGUACCAAAGAAACACCACUUAAUCUUCUCUCUUGAUUGAUUUUUAAAGUUUAAAUACCAGUACUUGAGGGACCAAUAUUACCAUCUUAAUCUUUAUUUUAUUAUUCAGAAUUAUACAGACCUAAUAUCAUUUUAUUCACAUAUGUCUUACUACUUUAAAUCCUACCAAAGUAACCUGGGCUUAAGUUUUACUUGAGGAUCAUAUGAAUUAGCCAAAAGAAUGGCUGACUGUUGCCUUUGCUCUUAUAAAAUCAAUAAGAGAACUCUCCUCUUUUUUUAAAAAUAAAUCUAAAUGAUUAUCUUGAAAAAGUAUUGUUUUCCAGUGUCACUUGACUCUUGAAUAAAAAUAACUGCAGUGUUCCCCAAAUAAUUUAACACAUUGCAAAUAUGAUUCAAGAAUCUGGCCUUUUUCAUGCUUGGUACUCUCUUCUCUUGCUCCAUUCCUUACAAAGCUCCUUCAAAUAUGCUAUGAAAUUAGAGGGAACAUAGUGCUUAACUCUGCUCCAUGGAUUUUAGAGGAAAAAAGCUAAAUAAUUGGAAACUGUUCAGGAAAGAGAGAAGGCAGAUUAUUUCUUAAAACUAAAUGGAAUUAGAAUUUAGCUUUGACCUCACCUAGCAAUCUAAGUGUGAAAAUGGGGAGACCUGUGGGCAUCCCCAGCAUGACUCUGCAUAUCUGAGCAUAUAUCUCCUUAUAGAUCAAUUUUAUGUAUAAACCCUUAGAUCCUAAUCCAUACAGAAUAGCACUGAUCAAAUUUAAAUGCAUGACUUGAUUAAAGACAUCAAUUUCAUAGAAGCUGGUGGCAAGAAUAUGUUUAAUAUGGCACUUGAUACCUCCUAGAUCCAUAAUGUAAGUCCAAUAGGCAGAAAAGAUGGUAAGUUACUAUGUUUCAAUCUGCUAUAUCUAGAAAAUCUAAAUUUAUUUGGAACUUUCAAAAAUGUAAGGUAAUUUAGAAUCGGCUUGAUGAGAAUUGAAGCAUAUGGAAACAAAACCUUAGCUUUAACUUUAUUUAUACAAUAAUGUGCCCUAAUCAUGUACUCUGAAACUUUAUAAACUUUCCUGUUGCUGUUUCUUAAUUAUCACUUCUCAAUCCGUACAGCCAAACUAGUAAAUUCAAAUGUAGACUGGGUUGUGGGUGGCAGAUAUAGAAGAAGAAAUUUCCAGACCAAAAAAUAUUAAAUAUUAUUUUAAAUUAUUUCAGAAGCAAAAACAUAUUAACAUCAUAACUUACCAGAAAAACCCCACUAUCCUCAUAAGAUUAACUUAAAAUUCUGACCACAAUCAGAACCAGCACUUGAAGUCUAUGUAUUGUUUCAAGUAGGACAUAUUAUGAGGUGAGAUGGUUUAUCCUUCUGUUUUAUGAAAUUAAUACAUUUUAAAAGAAAAAUGUUAGUUUAAGGGGGUGGUAAAUAAAACAGAUUUCAACUUGCCUACAAGACAUUCUAUUUCAUGCCUUUUCCUUUUGUUGUUCUAUUUCAUUCUAUUUUAAGCAUUAAAACUGAGAACAAAUUGUUUACUUCUUUUCACUCCACACGCGAAAGAGUUGUAUGUACUUUGUCAGAAUAAGUCUUCUAGACCAUCAGGUCCUUCUCAAACAACACCUGUUUUUUAAAAGGCUGAUGCCUAAUAGAUAGAUCUAUGCCAAGCACAGUUUAUUACUUUGCUUGCUUGGUUUUGCACAGUAUUCACAGGGGACAAAAAAUUUAAUAUGAUGUUUCCAAAAUUAAGCCACAGUAAAUUUAAAUAAUUAAUUUUAAUUGAAAAAAAGUAACCAUUUAAUUUCAAGAAUUAACUGGAAAAUAUGGGAAGCAAGGUCAUGUAGCAAAAAGCAAGGCCAGUAUUACUGCCUCCCCUCUAGGCAGCCCACUCCUGUAUUCCAGAUCAUUGCUAUGUACCCACAUAAUUAUAAAUUAGGAGUUUAAAUAAUAAAACAUAGACGUAAAACUGACAGGCAAGGGAGGUUUGGGAAACAGGGGUGAGAUGUAUACCUGGGUUGAAGGUAAUGAUACUCCUACAGCUUACCCUCCAAGUUGGUGAAGUGUUAGUCCAAAAGUAGAAACAACAGAGUAGGGGCAAAAAUCUAGAACAAUAAUUCUCAAAGGGAAUUGGGGGAUGAGAAGGAAGUAGAAAAGAGGGGAUUCAAAUUACCAGUGGUGCUUUCUAAAACACGGUUAGGUAAUCAUCAUCAUCAGACUUUCCUUUUUUUUUCAAGCAUUUUUAUAAACACUAGCACUCCACAUAACAUUAAUUUUUACAAAACCCCCUUAAAGUAGAUACUGUUAUUGUUCUUAUUUUAGAGUGGAUAAAUUGAGAUGGAGAAGUUAUAGAACUUGCACAAGGCUACAAAAGUUGUAUUUGGCACCAGCCAGUAUUUGAACCCAGGCAGUUUAUCACUCUAAUCUACAUUUUAAUCUGUAUUAGAGUAAAAAUAUGCUUUUGAAAUCAGAGUGACCUGGGUUGGAAUAUCAACUACUUGGUAGUUGAGUGCUUUUAACCUCUCCAUUGUUGUUUCAUCUAUAAAGUAAGGAUCAAAAUAGUAGCUACCUCAAUGGUAGUUGUGAGGAUUAAAUACAAAAAUGCAUGUAAAGGACAUACGUAUAGGAAAUAACAAUCACUCAAUAAGUGUUAGCUCUUAUUAUUGUUACUAUUAUAUCUCCCCAUCCCUACUUAAGACACUAGUUUGAAGAAUAAAAUAAACUUUGGUUCAGGAAUAACCAAACCUAAGCAACUGAAGGCACUAAGGGUAGGCUAUGUGUUAGCCUGUGUUAUUGUUCAUAAAUAGUAAUUGCCCUGGUCUGGAAGAGGAUUCUAUAUCCUACCCCAUUGUAGUCUAGCAUGGUAUGUGACUUGCUUUGGCCAGUGAAACAGAGUGAAAAUGAUGUAUGUCAAUUUUAGGCAGAAACGUCCAGAGCCAGCACUUGGUUUGCCAUGUUCUCCGUGUUUCUUCUGCUCCUAGAUGCAGCAGUAUUCCAGAUAGAGGCCGCACUAUGAGCCUGAAUUCCAGGAUAAAAACAACAUGGAAUAGAACUUAGCCAGCACAGAGUACACAUGUGCUGUAAAUGAGAAAUACCCCUUUGUUAUUGUAAAUCACUGAGAUUUUGAGGUUGUCUGUUACUGCAGCAUAAUCUAGCCUAAUAUAAACACCAAACUAAUAUACUCCUCUACCAUAGUAAUUUAUUUCUUGUUCUUUCUCCUCCUCCUUCCUCUACUUCAGGGUUUAGCGACCUUUUGCCUGCCUGUUUUUGUAAGGCCUGAAAGCUAAACAUAGUUUUACAUUUUUAGAUGGUUGAAAAAAUCAAAAGGAGAAUAAUAGUUCAUGAUGUAAAAAUUAUAUAAAAUUUAAAUAAAUGUCGGCAUCCUUAAAUAAAGUUUUAUUGGAACACA